GCUCCGUAGGUGAACCUGCGGAGGGAUCAUUACAAGUGACCCCGGUCUUACCACCGGGAUGUUCAUAACCCUUUGUUGUCCGACUCUGUUGCCUCCAGGGCGACCCUGCCUUCGGGCGGGGGCUCCGGGUGGACACUUCAAACUCUUGCGUAACUUUGCAGUCUGAGUAAACUUAAUUAAUAAAUUAAAACUUUUAACAACGGAUCUCUUGGUUCUG
rnacentral:misc_RNA from 1 species